rnacentral:miRNA from 1 species
UUGUGACCGUUUUAAUAGGCCA